rnacentral:lncRNA from 1 species
UCAUCAAAACAUUUAUAUUUUUGAAAGGUGAUAGAAAUUGUGAUGGGUGUGUAAGACUUACAUACACACCUUACACACCUUACACACCACUUGCAUGUAUUUAUGUCACAAACCACUUGCAAGGCUUUAUGAAUUUGUUGAAAAAAUUUUCAAAAUUUUGUGGACUAACACUCCAAAACCGGCCACCCUAUUAUUAGGGUUCUUUUGGGUCUUUUAUGCAAUUACAUAAAGUUUUGAUACUUUUGUGUAUUUGCACUUUGGCCCAAAAGUUUACGUUUUCACGUUUAGGUCCAAAAACGCUAAAGGACAAAUUGUUUUGCUCCUUUAAUGAAGUUUUUGCAUUGAUUAAAUUU